GGACUACCCGGGUUUCUAAUCCUGUUUGCUCCCCACGCUCUCGCGCCUCAGUGUCAGUGUCAAUCCAGGUAGCCGCCUUCGCCACUGGUGUUCCUUCCGAUAUCUACGCAUUUCACCGCUACACCGGAAAUUCCACUACCCUCUAUCGCACUCCAGUUACGCAGUAUAAUAUGCAAUUCCCAGGUUAAGCCCGGGGAUUUCACAUAUCACUUACCUAACCACCUACGCGCCCUUUACGCCCAGUAAUUCCGAUUAACGCUCGCACCCUCUGUAUUACCGCGGCGGCUGGCAC
rnacentral:rRNA from 1 species